UACGGGGGGAGCAAGCGUUGUUCGGAUUUACUGGGCGUAAAGGGUGCGUAGGCGGCGCGGUAAGUCGGGUGUGAAAUCUCGGGGCUUAACUCCGAAACUGCAUUCGAUACUGCCGUGCUUGAGGACUGGAGAGGAGACUGGAAUUUACGGUGUAGCGGUGAAAUGCGUAGAUAUGUGGCGGAACACCGAUGGCGAAGGCAGCCCCCUGGGCUGAGAUUGACGCUCAGGCACGAAAGCGUGGGGAGCAAACAGG
rnacentral:rRNA from 1 species